ensembl:lncRNA
GGGCAACUCCACUUAUCGCAGAGCCAACCGGAAUCUCUUCUGACGAGCAAGGUGGGCUCCCUCUGCUACACGGGGGCGAUGGCUGUACACGAGUGCUGUGACCGAGGCAGACCUGUAAAUAGCGGGCUCGGAUGAAGUGAUUGGAGGGUUCACCUGUCUGUCUGCCUACCUACACUACUACCUGGGUGCACUCAGUGAGCAUGACCGGAGUCUUCCACAAAGCUAGGCAGCCCUGGUGCUAAAGCUAGCCUGCUAGUCACGUGUUCUGGGGGAGUUGCUCUGGAGCCUGAAGGGAGGGGUGUGUGUUUUAUUUUUUCUUCAGUUGGAUCCUUUCAAAAUGUGGCCCAGUCUGGCUGGUUUCUCCAAAUUGCC